rnacentral:rRNA from 1 species
AUUGAACGCUGGCGGAAUGCUUUACACAUGCAAGUCGAGCGGCAGCGCGGGGGCGAACCCUGGCGGCGGAGCGGCGAACGGGUGAGUAACAUAUCGGAACGUACCCCGUCGUGGGGGAUAACACAGCGAAAGCUGUGCUAAUACCGCAUACGACCUGAGGGUGAAAGCGGGGGAUCGCAAGACCUCGCGCGAUGGGAGCGGCCGAUAUCGGAUUAGCUUGUUGGUGAGGUAAAGGCUCACCAAGGCGACGAUCCGUAGCUGGUCUGAGAGGACGACCAGCCACACUGGAACUGAGACACGGUCCAGACUCCUACGGGAGGCAGCAGUGGGGAAUUUUGGACAAUGGGGGGCAACCCUGAUCCAGCCAUUCCGCGUGAGUGAAGAAGGCCUCGGUUGUAAGCUCUUUCUAGCAGG